rnacentral:rRNA from 1 species
CUACGGGAGGCUCCAGUAGGGAAUAUUGCGCAAUGGGGGCAACCCUGACGCAGCAACUCCACGUGUGGGAUGAAGCAUUUCGGUGUGUAAACCACUGUCGAGAGGGAAUAAUGCGGUCUUUCGGGAUCGUUGAAUGUACCUUUAAAGGAAGCACCGGCAAACUUCGUGCCAGCAGCCGCGGUAAUACGGGGGGUGCAAGCGUUACUCGGAAUCACUGGGCGUAAAGAGCAUGUAGGCGGAUUAAUAAGUUGGAAGUGAAAUCCUAUAGCUUAACUAUAGAACUGCUUCCAAAACUGUUGAUCUAGAAUAUGGGAGAGGGAGAUGGAAUUUCUGGUGUAGGGGUAAAAUCCGUAGAGAUCAGAAGGAAUACCGAUUGCGAAGGCGAUCUACUGGAACAUUAUUGACGCUCAGAUGCGAAAGCGUGGGGAGCAAACAGGAUUAGAUACCCUCGUAGUC